UGAAGAAGUGAGACCUCUGGUGCAGUGUGGUUCUUUGGCCAAUUGUUUGGCAUCCACACACGAGUGCGGAUGAGCACAGGUUGGGCCAGGCAACUUGAUUCUGCAGCUAGAAGCUGAACCGCAACAGUCUCUGGGAUGGAGUGGAACAGAAAAGGAGGGCAAAAUCCUCUAACUCACCACCUCUUUCUACAUCUGUCUGGACAUAGGGAUGAGGUCCAUGACAAUGACACCCCUACACAUCUCCAAGAUAAUCUGACCCUGGCAACUGCCCUGUUGUCCUUAAGGUUCCUGGUCAUGCUUCCUGCUUAAGCACUUGCAGGGCACUCCUCCGAUCCUCUCUUUCUGGGUUUCCUCUAAUAGAUCUCUGUAGGGGUGGGGGGGGGGCUUCUACAUUCCAUAUGCAGAAAGCCUGCAUCCCAGUCCUUGCCUUUAAAGAUGUCAUGAAUGUUUUAUAGGUGCAGAGAAUAGGGUUCAGCAAAGACAACUCUGCCCAGAUAGUGUGGGGCAGUGCCAGGAUUUGAACCAGAUUAUAAUCUGCCUAAAUUUAGUCUUGUCUUUGCAUUGUUACCACCUUCCCCACCCCCCUGUGUUAGUGUAGUCAAUCUUUCUACGACUCCCUUAGUUUCUCCUGUGUAUUUUAGACUUUACCCCAUCCUAGGAGUGGUUUUAUUUUGACGAUUUUAUCCAAUUCCUUGUUGUCUUGUACUUAGCACUGUGCCGGGCAGCCUCAUCCUUGGAGUGGGGGGGGGGGGGAGACAGAGGUGCAUAGCCUCUCUGUCUUGCUGUCAGCUUCUCCGUGAUCUAUAUCUGUGGAGGAAGAGGCUCAGACAAUUCCCUAUGUUCCCUCAGGAGAGUGCACGGUAUCUACAUACAACAGGAGGCACCAAAGCGUUUGAGUACACUUUUAUGUUAAUAUUUUCAUGUUGAAGCUUGCUUUUUUUUUUUAUACAUUCAUUAUUUACUGUGGAGUGGGAUAUACGCCAUGACACAUAAGUUGAUAUCAGAGGACAUCUUGAAAGGUCAGUUGUUUCCUUUGGCUGUGUGGGUUCUAGGAACUGAAGGAUGAUCAGCAGGCUUGCCAGUAAACACCUAUAACCAUUGAGCCACCUUGUCACAUAUUACAGCUUCUUGAAAGAAUGCGAUUGUGUUUUAAAAUUACCUUUUGAGAAGUUAGCACAGUGCCGUACAUAACCAGUGUGUAAAAAAUUGUGAGAGUCAGCCUAAUUUUUUAAAAGACUAUUGUCUGGCUGAUGGUCAAUCUAGAGUCACAUUCAUAAUUCCUCCUGUAAGUUCCUAGGUCACAGGGUUUCUUGUGUAAGGCCACCGCACUGUGGCUCAGGAGGUCUCUUCAAAUGAUACAUUGUGUCAGGUGAUAUGGUAGCAUAGGAGUAUUCUGAUCUGCAUAUAGGGAGAAAGGAGUUUGUACAAGAGUAUAUACUGGGGUCCAGGUCUGCAGUAGGCAAUCUAGCCACAAUGCUCUCAUUUCAGAGAAAGAGAGCAAGGAACUCCAAGAGUUUCAUGGCUGUCUGGCCUGAACGUCUCCAGGGUUUCAUAAUGUGUACUCUGAAGAAAGAUUAGACAAUUCCUUAUUUUGCUUAAGGGAAGAAUAUUUUAAGUACAUAUAAUUGCUAUCUUUGCAGGCUAACUUCUAUUCUGGUCUUAAAACAAAACAAAACAAAAGGUUUCACAUAUUUUUUUUUCACUUGAACCCAUCUACUAGCACAGAGAUAGAGGAAAGCCAGAUUCGCAGACAAACAAAUGUGGGCAGUGGAGACGUUGUCGGGUUGGUAUAACUGGAUUACUGGGAAGGGUGCAAACUGUGAGGUUCCUUGGGUAUAGUUCCUCCCGGCCUCCCUGGUGCUUUGCCAGUGUCUCCUCCUGGAGUUUUCUCUGAGGUGUGGAGUCAAGUGCAUAUUGACCGCUAUGGGUAGCAAGAGAGGAGGAGGAGAUGGGCUGGAAAUCAUGACUGGAAAGCCUGAUUGACAGGUGUCGCUGAACUGUGCUAUGGGAUCUAUUCUGUUCACCCUACUUUGUCUGCCUCGCAUAGAGCUGAUGGGGUGUACGACCAUCCUGGGGUUCACUCUGUCCUCUAUCAGGCUGAGUAUUCUGAGGCCACUGAAUUGGCUACAAACAAGUUGCCAUCUUCGCCAACUGGGGAAAACUUCAUGCUAUCAGCCUACAGUACAGUUUGAAAAGUUGUAUCUUUUGUGAGAUUCCUCAAGGGAGAGCUGGGUAGGAUGCCACAGUUACUCUGUUCCAAAUGCGCUCAACAUAGAGUGAACAAACUCUCCCUGCAGGAAUCCCCCAGGAAUUGCCUGCUCUACCCAGGAAGAUGGGGAAUGGAAAUACAUUAUAUACUGCAUGGUCAGCCUUUUUUUUUUUUAGGCAAUGAGACUGAGCCAAUAGGGAGUGGCAUGUGCUACAGGUGGCAUGUGGCUCAAGCAUUCCUAAGGACUGUCAUUUCACACUCAAAACGGUGUGCUAGUUUUUAAGUGUCUGUUUAGGUGUGUCAGGAUGAAAAAAAAAUGGAUGAUUUUCUUCGAAAGGAAACUUUGGUUUUCUUUUGUUAAGGAGUACACUAUGGUUUAAUAGUGGCUAUUCCCCUAAAAGGCUUGCACAUUGAAGACUUGAUCCAGCCAAUGAUGCUAUUGCCUGGGAAUUGGGUCAUGCUUUUCUCAUCAAGGGAUCAAUUCAUUGAGAAUUCCAGAGGCUGGAGAAAGUAAGUCGGUGUGUGUGUGUCCACGUGUGGAAUCGGGGGGGGGGGUCAUGUUUAAGAGUAUACCAUGUCCCCAGUCCCUUCCUGUCGGUCUCAGUUUUAGCUGAGCAUCUUUGUUCUGCCACACCCUUCUAGUCAUUCAGCCGGACCUCACCACAAAGGGCCAUAGACCAAAACCUCUGGACUCAGGAGUCAAUCUUUUCUCCUUUAAAAUGUUUUUUUUCUCUAGUAUUUUUACACAAAGACUGAAAAACCAACACACCAGGUAUUAGGAAAAAUCAACAAUCCCCCAAUAUAUACAAAUAAUAGUAUUUGUUGUUAUGAAUUUAGAAAACGAUUCUGUUUCCCCUUCUGCCUCAGUGGGUGCCCUUUUCAGCCUUCGAGCCUAACCAUGCAGAAGGCGUGUUGCUUGUCGAAUGGGGCCACACGGAGCCUGAAGAUUCUGGAAAGUAAUGUGCAGUCAGACCAUGGAUUGAUUGCCCUGAGAGCCGGUGAAAGGAAGAGGAGAGAUGUCUCCAUCUCUGGGAUAAUGAGAGAGAAAAGAGUCCUCCCAAAGAUGAAUGUCUAUUUACCUGUAUGCCAAGAAGACUCUGUGACAUCCAGUUCAUUAUCCUUGGCCAAAGGGUGCCAUCUAGGAGCCAAGUUCUAUUUCCUCCUAGAGUCCCUGCCAUUCAUUCAUCAUUGGGUUCAAGCUGCCAACCCAAGAGAUGCAAAUUCAUCCCCUGGGGCUUUGGAAGAUAGAGUUUACAGGGUCAAGCUCCUCGAAUGGAUAAUCAAAUAAAUACACAGGCCCAAAAUUCGGUCUGGAGUCAUUCCUAUACUUUUGAAACUGCCACACAUACCCUGGGGCUUCGGAAGAAAAGAGAUGAAAAAGAAGGCUACAAAAGCCAGGAGCAUUCACAUCUCAGGUCAGCUGGUGUGGUUUCUAGAGACUCUGAUUGACCAAAUUAAUGUUCCUCAGGAACUGGCUCCACUGUGGUAUCCAUGAUCCCUGGCUCGGUAAGCACUUUUCAACAUAGGCAGGGAAAGAGGAAGACCUCUGACUUGCCAAGAAAGAGAGGUUAGACUAUGGCUGGUCUUCACAGUUUCCAGUCAAAUUCUCAAUAUUGUCUUUCACAGUCGUUCAUAUUUGAGAGUCAAGACAGGGGCUAGGGAGAUGGGUCAGAGAGUAAAGGGCUUGGGCAAGAAUCGGGACCUGAGUGUGGAUCCCCAACAUUUGCAUAAGAUGGAGAGAUCAAGGCUUAGUGAUGUGUGACUGCAACUGUAGCUUACCUCUGGUCUCCACUUACGCAUGUAUGAGCAAAUGCACCCAUAUGUACACAUACACAUAACACAGAUACAUGCAUGCACAUACACAUGAACACAUACACAUAACACACACACAAACACGCGUGUCCACACGCAUGCACGCACGUGCGCAUAUUUCCUCGUGUUCAUACAUUUCAUAUUCUCUGGCCUUUGCAGGUCUCAUGCUCUUCUCUUUUAGCCAUUUCCAUUCCAGCAGAGUAGGAUAGGAAGCGACAGAACCCAGACAGUGAAUGGCUAAGUGCUUUGAUCAAUAGGGCUGUAAGAGCACUGGCCAUCAAAUCUAGGUCUCACCCCAGCUCUUGUGAGCUAGGAUGUAUACACUGCACCAAGUUCACCCAAAGGGUGGGUUUGCAUGAGUCCAAGGUGUCUUUAAUAAUAAUCAUGUCCCAUGGUUCCCUCUGUUAUUAAUGAAAGGACAGUGUGGCAAGGAAGGGCUUUCAACGCAGCACAAUUAAAUUUACUGAAGCGUUUGUGAAAUAGAUGAGUCUCCAAAGUGCUGAGCAUGCAGAAUUUAAAAAAAAAAUUAAAAGAAUACAGCAGCAUAAUUUGAGUAUAUUCUAGGGUUCAAGGUGCUGUGGCAGAAUCAGAAUUCUGUAGAGAUUCAAACAUCAAGAGAUGAACAGGAAGCACUCGGGGGGAGAAGCUGAGGAAUAUUUUAAAGGCAGAAACUGCCACCUCGGAGAUUUUAAAUUUGGCACAUUUGACACUUCUCAAGGAGUCCUCCCUGCUACAAACACCACGGACGUGAAUACCAAAGAGUAUGGCUCACUGGAGCCAGGCUUGUUUUCUGGGGUCCACUGCUUUGACCUCCAUGGAGGUUGGACUCUGGACUUCCUUACAGGACAGCACAUGUCAAAUUAUGUGUAGCCCAUGACACCACACACUCUGAAAUCUGGGGAAGGUGAAACCCUUCCUCCUCUUCAUUCUCAAGUCUUUAAAGAUGGACCAUGAGAUUUAGAUUACCUAGGCCAAUUCUGGAUAGCUCAGUUAGGUGAGUGGCUUUGUAAGCUUAGCUCUGUAGUGUAAGUGGGGGAGGGGCACGGGAGAACAUCAGGUGUCCUGCAUAUCGUUUUUAUAUUUAUUCCUUCAAUAGAGAGUCUCCUACUGAAUAUGAACCUCACCAGCCUUCAGCUAGGCGUCCUUGCCAGUGAAUCCUGAGCAGUUAUUUAAUCUCUGUAUCAUCACUGCCAGGACACGGGGAUUACAGGUGUACACAGCCACACCCAUCUUGAUGUGGUCUCUGGGAAUCUGAAUUUAUGACUGCAUGCUUGUGUGACAAGCACUGUAUUAACUGAGUCAGCUGCCCAGCACCUCAGCGGGAUUCUUAUAUGUACAGGAGAGGACAUGACAUGUUGAUAUUUGGUCCUACUAAGGUAUAGCGCUGCACUGGCCUUCUAAUAAGAAUUUUUUGAGUGUUUUUUUUUUUUAAUUCUGCAUUCUUCUGGGAUAUCGAUAAAAUCCAUGGUCAUAAAGUAUGAAAGGAAUACAGAUCAAUCAACUACUUAAAUACAGAUUAGCACUCUUACACUGUUGUUUGGAUUUUAGUUUUCUGGGUUUGGUUGGCUGGUUGGUUUUUGUUGCUUUCGUUGUUUGCCUCUGUUGGUUUGCUUGUUUGGUUGGUUGGUUUAAAGAUCCUAUUUUUUCAGUAUAGUCCGACCUUUACAAAACUUGCUGUGCAGCUCGGAUAAGCAAGCUAGCCUUGAACUUGCAAUCUUGGUGCUUCAGCCUCCCAAGUGUUGGGAUUUUGUGCCAGCGUGUCCCCCCCAGGCAAGCAGUCUCUAACUGAUCAUUUUCCUUCCCUUUCCAGGUAGUCGGGUGAUCUUGAUUACCACAAAUCUACAUCUCGGAGUUUUUCAAAGAGCAAGAGGGUGAGAAAGGAGGCAAGAAUGUUAAACAUAAAAUAAGUAGGGUUUGCAUGCCCAAAGAUGAUACUCCAUGUUACAUUUGCCAUGUGUGUGCACUCUACAUAAGCACAAGCAGAUGGCUUAAUGAAGGCAAGGUAAGAGGAGGAUUGUCCAAGCCUUGAUAACAGGGUCUUCCCCACAUGCUGCUCAAUGGGGACUUAUGUUAAUAUCCUUUCAUGCUCACCUUGUACUUCUUUGUUUCUAUGUGGAGUGGAAGAUCUACAAAUUGAGUAUCCAUUGAGGGAAAACAGCAAUGCUGUCCUAUUCAGAAGUAGGAAGCUUUGGCAGGGAAACUGUUGGUGAGAUAUCCAAAAUUUAACUCCAGUGACUCAUCCUGUGAUUUGGACAUAUUUUGUCUUAGUCAGUUUCCCUUUCUAAGAUUUUCCUAACCACAUUUAGCAUUUGCAACUUCUGAAGUGGAUCUGCAAAGAAACGGUCCUAGGCUCAACAGGAAGAAUUCCCUCUUGCAAUCAUUCGCCUUUGUACUGGAAAAUCCAGGGGUGCUGGCAGCUGCUAGAACCUUACAGUUCUGCUAUGCCAAACUCCGUGUGGAGGUAGCGAGUACCAAAUUUCUCUUUGACUUUUACUACACAGAGAAGCUUUCUUUGCAGAAUGAGGACUCUCCAGUUGUAGGCUCACAUCUUCCCAUGACUCCUGUCUCUCAUUGCCAUCAAGCAAGCAGGAGAACAACACUAGCCUCACCCCCACUCCCUGUGCCUCUGUCUUCCAGAUGGGAAAAGUAGAACCUUAAUUUCACUUCUCCUCCCUCCCCAAACCCACUCUUAGUUACAAAGUCUUUCUGGUGCACCAUUGAUCUUCAUCCAUUUCUUCCUCUUUUCAUUGACCAAGGUCUGCCAACUCCCCUCAAGCACUUUGGCUUCAUUUUUUGGCUUGUUCCAGUAGGCUGCCUCUAUCCCUCUAGUUACAUCACCUACCAGUCCACCUAAAAUUUUAGCAACAAAAGAUCUUUAAGUUCUGCCUUUGGUUUGUCAUGUCUGAGUCCCAAAUCUUUGGUGACAAUUUAUCUGGUGCUGUUUUGUAUCUAUGAGACUAUGGGUUUGAGGAAACCACAACAGCUGGUAAAACACUAUAGAUUAUUGUCACAGUAAAUGGCUCUUUCUGGAUAUGACAUAAUGGGGACCAACUUUGCUGAAGUCCACCCUGACCCAGAGCUCGUGACUAACAUGCCUGUGUGGGCUUUCCCGAGGUAAGGCUUGUCACUGCUUGUGAGUGUGCAUUGCCUUCCUGCCCCCAUUUGCUCUCCAGAGAAAGGCAUCAAGACUCCCUGAAAGUCAGAAAGGUGCAUUUCACACCAUAAAAUGAGUGACCUACAAGGCUUGCCCAAGGGCUCUGUCCUCGGCCCCCUUGUCUUGUUUAUUUUAUUAGAAUCUAGAGUGAAAAUAGAUCCCAACCUUGUCUGCAGAUAUUAAGAGUAAGGGGGAAAUGUAGAUGUCAAGAUCAAAGCUCAUGGAGAACUCCAAAAGAGGUCAAACUGCAGAGCCUAGAAAGUGACAGAUAUCAAUAAGUUCUGAAUGUGAGGUUCACCGCUCUAAGGAUAAGAUGAGGGAGGCCCUGCAUAAUUAUUACACUAUAACUAUAAACAUUCCAGGGUAGGAGGUCAGGAUGAAGGGGGAGGUCAUACAUUAUUUAUAAGGAAAAUACUAACUGCCAGCAGUUUUCUCCCGAGCCAGCAGAAGCGUACUUAAGUUACAUUAGUGGCAUCGCACUGUCUGGGACAAAGGAUGAGCUGGUUACAGGCUGUUCACUGCUCUGACGGCCCGAGAAUAUUUUCAGUUCUUGUUGCCAUAUCAAGAGCAAAACGAAUCAUGAAGAACAAUGAUUGGUCCAGAAAUCACAUGCAGCUCAUAGUCUUACUUAUGUUUAUCUUUAAAAGGUAGACAUUAAGAAAAUAAUGUCUGGUUUGGGAUUUUCUGUUUGUCUGAUUUUUUUUUCUUUUUUUUAGAAUAUCUCACUAUUUAGCCCAAGUGGCCUGAAUACCUUGCUAUGUAGCCCAAGUUGAUGCUGAACUCAAUAUGGUCCCUGCCUAAGCCUCCUGAGUGCUGGGAGGAUGGUUAUGUAUUACCUUGUCUGGAAACAAUGUAUAUUUAAGGACAGCCAUGAAGAAGGAUGACCUUUAUUCUCUCUACUGAGGACAAGAACAAGACUCUUUGGUGGAAGUUUGUGGAAGAGGUAAGCCAUUAGGAAACAAGUACUUACUCUUUGGUAAGAGUUGAGACAGUGGAAUCAGAUGACUUGAGAAAUGAACCUCCUGUUUCUAGAUAUGUCUGAAUAUCAAUUGAGUGACAUUAUUACAGGAGACUUUUAUAUCAAUCUUGAAGUGGAUACCAGGAAGUCUCUGCUGUCUGUGUAGAUGCUGAUUGUGUUUGGUCCAUUGGCAGUGUCUUUAUAGACUAUACAUUCUCUAAGAGUAGAGAGACUUAGUGUUGCAUUUAUAUAUGCAGGCUUCUAACACAGUUCCUUUAGGGAUUGAGGCAUACCAUAUAUUGCAGAGCAGUAACAAAAUUAUGAAGUCCUAUCUAGAAAGACCCCAUCUCUUCUAGAAAAUCCAGAGCAAAUUUCUCAAGCCCAUUUCUGACUUUUCAAUAGCUUAUGCUCUGUGGCACAUGACUUGAUAUGGUACAAUUUUCUCUUGUACAAUGAUGCUUAAUAUGAGCUCCCUCUAAGCUCCCUAAUUAGACUGUAAAUUCUGAAUGAACAAAAGAAUAGAUUGCCCUGUUAAAAUUAUGUCAAUGGCAUCAUUAAAUCCAGUCUCAAAUAGGAUGUUAAUGUGUUAAUACAUUUUAGCAUUCAAAAUCACCUUUGUGCUGGGGAGAUGACUCAGUUUGAAAAGUGACAAUUCUAUAAGCACAAGGACCCAACUGCAGAUUCCUAGCAUCCAGGUAAAAACAUGGCAUGGCUGCAUGUGUUUUGGUAACCCUAGCAACUGAAUCAGGGCAUAACAAGUGAAUCCAUAAAGGUCACUGGCCAGCCAAUUUAGCCAAUUGGUGAGUCCUGGAUUCAGUGAGAGAGCUCGUCUCAAAAGAUACAAUGAGAGCAGUUGGGGAAGAAACCUGACUUUAACCUUCAGUCUCCAUACAUAUGUAUACAUAUAUGUAUGCUUCUGCAUGCGUGUGCACACAUGCACACACAUAUGCACACACGCACACACACACACACACGAGGGGGGAUGGAGAGUUACCUUCAACUUAUUAACUACAAAAAGAAAAAACCAGUAAACUUUUAGUGAAAAAAAAAUAUCAAUUUUGUAACCAUCUGCCUUUGCCAAGUCUGCCCCAGUUCCCUAAUAAUGAUAUGGAGGCUUAUUUAUUUAUAAAUAAAUGCCUAGGCCUUAAGCUAGGCUUGUUCCCCAACUAGAUCUUAACUUAUAUUAACCCAUUUAUACUGAUUUAAGUUCUGCCACAUAGCUGGUUACCUCUCCUCAGUUUCAUAUAUCUAAUCCACACCUCGGUUGUCAAAUCUUUCCCAGAGUUUCUCUCCCUUCCAGAUGUCCCACUUUCUAUUAUACCUUUUGCUAUAGGCCCAGAGAAUUUUUAUUUUAACCAAGCAGACAAGGAAGGACAGAGACACAUCUUCACACAGUGCAUAGAAACAUUAUCCCUACACAACUUAAAAGAGAUUGACACAUUCAGCACGUGUUUGAAAACACGCUGAUUGGCCGAUUCUGGAGCAAAGCUUCAUUUCCAUGGUAUUCUGGAUGCAGAUGAAUAACUUUCACCUAAAUGUGAGGAGUUGCCACAUAAACUCAAAUUGAGGGAAUUUCUACAAAAGAUGUGACCAGAAAUAGGACUAAGAAAGAAUUAAGAACCUUCCCAAUCUGAGAAAACAUGUCCCUACAUGCAAUGAGGGAGCCCUUGAGUUUAAAAGGUGACAAAUCUAAGGACAAAUACAGAUGCGUUAGUGGCAUUAUUACAACAAUGUUGAUUUGCUGGCUUUGUAUUGUAUUGUGGUUAUGACAGCAUCAAAGCUAAGGAAAGGUAAGUAAGCAUCAUGAGGAAUAGUGUAGUAGAUUCACCCCUUGUCUGUAAGUCUAAAAUGACCUGAAAAUAAAAGUUGAGUAAGUCCCAGUGUGGUUCCCAGUCCCAACACCACUGCCUUGCGCCAACAGUAACAAGUGCACUCAGUCCCCACGAUGUGCGAUGGUUACAUCCUGCAUGCUUGCUGCAGAAACAGAAUUGGUAAAUCCUGGAGAACCGACAGCUCUUCAAGGACACAGAGCCCUAAUCUUUCCUGAAAGCCUCUGAGCAGAUAGUUCUCAGCAACAAACACACGGCUUUGUUUUAUGAAGGUUUCUCUUGGAAGACUCGCUAUUUGACAUAUUCAUUAACAUGGAACCCAACAGCCAAUAGUACCCUGACUGUAACUCAUACAUGAGAACAGUUUAUCUAACACUUGUAUUUUUCUCCCUAUAAGAUACGUCACAGCCUCCAUGAGCACAGACACACCAGGGCAUUUUAGCAUUGCACUUAGAAGCCGUGUCAAGUAGCAACACUCUUUAAAAUGCCAAAAUAGACACGAAAUGGAGCAUCAAGUAGCAUGAUGUUUUUCUUGUACCCUUCUUCAUGAAUUGACCUCAAAAGCUCCUGUAAUUUGUGAGUUACAAAUAAAUUUUAACAAGUGAGCUCACUUGCCAGUGGCCAACUGGAUUCCCUUUCUAAGGGAAAGAGUCAAUUGCAUUUUUAAACACAUCCAGUGAUUUUGAAUUUAUAGGUCUUUGCCCUCAGUGAAUAAGAAAAUAAGAAUAACAUUUCACUUGAAAUGAUAAAAUAAAUUCUUGAAAAUAUACUUCAGAGCCAAGGAUUUUCCAACUAUCAGAACACAUCAGAGAGUGAGGGCUACUCACUGGCAUUAAGAUAUAUCGAGAAAAAUUAUAAGAUUUCCAGUAUGGGAGCAUUUUAAUUUUGCAGCUUAGGCCUGGGGGUCAUAGCUUAGUACAAAGCACCUACCUAAGCAUGCAGGAGGUCCUAGGGUUAAUCCUUUGUAAUACACACACACACAAACACACAUACACACACACACACAAACACACAUACACACACACACACACAAACACACAUACACACACACAAACACACAUACACACACACACACAAACACACAUACACACACAUACACACAAACACACAUACACACACACAAACACACAUACACACACACACACAAACACAUACACACACAUACACACAAACACACAUACACACAAACACACAUACACACACACAAACACACAUACACACAAAUACACAUACACACACAUACACACACACAAACACACAUACACACACACACACAUACAUACAUACAUACACACACACACACACACACACACACACACACACACACACACUGUUCCUCAUCAUGGCAAUCCUGAGGACAUCAGCUGUUCCCUUGUUUCAUCAACUCUAAUGCUGUUUGUCUCCUUCCAUUUUGAUCCCUGAUACACAUGGCCACAAAGUGAACUCCCUCAGUAACAGGACUCACCUGACUGUGACAAUUUGUAUAUGCUCUGGCCAGGGAGUGGCACUAUUAGAAGGUGUGGCCCUGUUCAAGUAGGUGUGGCCUCUUUGGAGUAUGCGUAGCACCAUGGGCAAGAGCUUUAAGACCCUCAUCUUGGCUGCGCGGAAGCCAGUAUUCUGCUAGGAACCUUCAGAUGAAGACAUAGAACUCUCUGCUCCUCCUGUGCCAUGCCUGCCUGGAUGCUGUCAUGUUCCUCCCUUGAUGAUAAUGGACUGAACAUCUGAACCUGUAAACCAGCCCCAAUUAAAUGUUGUCCUUAUAAAGGUUGCCUUGGUCAUGGUGUCUAUUCAUAGCAGUAAAACCCUAAGACACUGCCCAUCAGCAAACCUCUUCUUCAUCACCACACAUCCCACUCUCCACUUCUAUUCCAUGAUAUUUUUUUUUCAGUUUACAACACAGAAAUUCUAAUACUCCUCCUCUUGUUCCCAGUCCUCUACCAAUGUCUCUCUCCCAGUGCCACCUCAGCAUCCUGUCUAGCUGGCCCUAUGAAAUCGUGCGGGUGAUGCCUUCAUUACCCCUCUGGGAUUUAGUGUCUUUUGGCUUUACUUCUUUCUAUAUCUUUAAUUGUUCUCAAAGGAUGAUCUUGAGUAAUUGCUGAUCUCACUGCCAGUUUGUCAAAUACUUUUGCAAGUAUUCACGAAACCAUAGUGCUUGAGGAUACAUAAAUUAACUUGCCUAAUUAUCCUUGAUCAAGUCUUCCCUCUUCUCCUUUCUACCCAUUUCUAUUGAGAUCCACUCACCCAGACAGGGGCUGUCAGGCAUUCCCUCUGUGCUGCAGUUUAGGAUGGCAUAUAGAUCACCUGAGUCUGUGGUAAUAAGUUCUUAGCUCGUCUUCUCACAUCUUGUCCUGUCCACUGUAUAAGCUAAUUAAUCAUAUAAAGCAGACAGUUAAUCAGCCUAGAUGCUCCCCAUUGCUGCCUGGCAAAACUCCAAACACCUUCACAUGGCAUGCAAAGUCCCUCUAUGGAUAUUAUUUAUAAAGACUUCUUCUUCUAAACCUAUUAACAGACUAUGACUAAGCCCGAUGGACAACUUGCAUUCUUGAAUUGUCCUACUCCUCCCUAAUUAAACCCUUUGUUUACAUUUUCCACUUCUUCAGGAAUCUUUUGCCCCCUAAAUCGAUCCAUCAAAUUUUUAAUGCCUUUUCCAUGCUGAAAAGGAAAGAGAAGUCUUCCACUGAGACUUCUCUGACUCCGUAUCUGGGGAUAGCCUACAUCUCAGACUCCUGUUGGCUCUUCAGAAUCAUAGCCCAUAUAUUUGUAUUGACAUCCAAAUAGUGUCAUCCUGACAUGACAGGGAAGCUGCACUCAUAAAAUCUCAGCAGUGCAGAUGCCUAAACAAGACCUGCAUGGUGACAAUACCAGGUGACAUGCCAGCCUGGAUAGAGGAAACCUCACAGGGUCCCAUUCCUAGAUGAAAAUCUCCAAGGGAAGGAAAUAUCAACUCUUAUCUUAUUCACUACAAUACCUCAUGUAAAUGCUAAGUAGGAUGAUAAUUAAUGAACUAAAUAAUAACAAGUCUAACACCUAAUAUGUACAUAUAUAAAGUAUAAUUUACGUAUAAUUGAUGGAAAAACAGAAGAAUGACCAAGGUACAAUACAUUGUUAAUUAAUCAUACUAUCAGAUUAAAAUUGUAGAUAUAUACCAAAGAAUAGUCUAAAUGUGUACUAGUAAUAUCUAUUAUUAACACAAUCAUCAUCACUUAAUAAUUAAGCAAAUUGAUAUUUAUAUUAUAAAAUCAAAUGGGGGUUGUCUGAGUAACUCACUAGGGUUGCAUUAACUCUCUGGACCCAGUGGCUAUGAAUGAUUCCUAGAGAUAGAGAUGCACAUCCUUCAUUUCAAAGACUGCAGAAUAACACACUAGAAAAGUGUAUUCAGUCGAUGUAUAAACUGUACGGGCAUUGCUAGCCACAGCACAAUACCAAAUGCUACAUUCCCUAACUUGAAAGACUUUCCACUGUCGACUGUGUAAAAAAAGUAACUCCGUGUUUGUUCUCUGCUCCAUUGGCACAGCGGAUAGUAAUGAAAUAAAUCACCCCCAUUACCAUUGCUAGCACCACUGUCCUAAAAACAUAUUCCUUAGUUAAAAAAAUGGAGCUCAAGAACUGACAUUGAGAAACAUGGCUCAGUGGGAAGCUGAGACAACUGUGGAUGCUUACCGACAUCAAAGGAAAGCCAUUCAUCACCAUCAUGACCAUGAUGGGUUUAUUUACAAGCUAUGAAGAAUACAGAAAAGGGAACAUCAAGUUCUGGGCAUUUGACAAGGGUAUUUCCCCCAAGUGUGUUCUACUUUGUUUUGGAGAAAUCACAUGUAUUUCUCUAAGAUGAGGGUAAAAAUUCAGGUAAUGAAAGCAUGCCAGUGCUGUAUUGAUAAGCACUAAGCACACUCUACUCUUCCUCCUCCCCCUCUUCAUCCUCCUCCUCCCUUCUUCUAAAAUUCAUAUUUCAAUUGAUUUAAUUUCUGGCAACAUUUAAAAGCACUGGCCCUCGGCUUUCCCUAUUUUCACUUGACUGCUGAACUAUGAUAUGAUCCUGUAUGUGACACCACAGGCAAAACUUCAGUCACUUCUACACAAACUGAGCCAACUUAUGUUGGCACUAUGUGAAGGUUGCCUGAAUUUCCAUCCUGUGGACCACAAGCCUCACUAUAGUUGUUCACUGUAAAGAGUAUAAGAGCCAAAAGACUAAGCCGACUGCUGCAAGACAGGAUCUUCUCAACAUGACAGGGAAG